GGGUUGUGAGGUUAAGCGACUAAGCGUACACGGUGGAUGCCCUGGCAGUCAGAGGCGAUGAAGGACGUGCUAAUCUGCGAUAAGCGUCGGUAAGGUGAUAUGAACCGUUAUAACCGGCGAUUUCCGAAUGGGGAAACCCAGUGUGUUUCGACACACUAUCAUUAACUGAAUCCAUAGGUUAAUGAGGCGAACCGGGGGAACUGAAACAUCUAAGUACCCCGAGGAAAAGAAAUCAACCGAGAUUCCCCCAGUAGCGGCGAGCGAACGGGGAGGAGCCCAGAGUCUGAAUCAGUGUGUGUGUUAGUGGAAGCGUCUGGAAAGGCGCGCGAUACAGGGUGACAGCCCCGUACACAAAAAUGCACAUAUUGUGAGCUCGAUGAGUAGGGCGGGACACGUGGUAUCCUGUCUGAAUAUGGGGGGACCAUCCUCCAAGGCUAAAUACUCCUGACUGACCGAUAGUGAACCAGUACCGUGAGGGAAAGGCGAAAAGAACCCCGGCGAGGGGAGUGAAAAAGAACCUGAAACCGUGUACGUACAAGCAGUGGGAGCACGCUUAGGCGUGUGACUGCGUACCUUUUGUAUAAUGGGUCAGCGACUUAUAUUCUGUAGCAAGGUUAACCGAAUAGGGGAGCCGAAGGGAAACCGAGUCUUAACUGGGCGUUAAGUUGCAGGGUAUAGACCCGAAACCCGGUGAUCUAGCCAUGGGCAGGUUGAAGGUUGGGUAACACUAACUGGAGGACCGAACCGACUAAUGUUGAAAAAUUAGCGGAUGACUUGUGGCUGGGGGUGAAAGGCCAAUCAAACCGGGAGAUAGCUGGUUCUCCCCGAAAGCUAUUUAGGUAGCGCCUCGUGAACUCAUCUCCGGGGGUAGAGCACUGUUUCGGCAAGGGGGUCAUCCCGACUUACCAACCCGAUGCAAACUGCGAAUACCGGAGAAUGUUAUCACGGGAGACACACGGCGGGUGCUAACGUCCGUCGUGAAGAGGGAAACAACCCAGACCGCCAGCUAAGGUCCCAAAGUCAUGGUUAAGUGGGAAACGAUGUGGGAAGGCCCAGACAGCCAGGAUGUUGGCUUAGAAGCAGCCAUCAUUUAAAGAAAGCGUAAUAGCUCACUGGUCGAGUCGGCCUGCGCGGAAGAUGUAACGGGGCUAAACCAUGCACCGAAGCUGCGGCAGCGACGCUUAUGCGUUGUUGGGUAGGGGAGCGUUCUGUAAGCCUGUGAAGGUGUGCUGUGAGGCAUGCUGGAGGUAUCAGAAGUGCGAAUGCUGACAUAAGUAACGAUAAAGCGGGUGAAAAGCCCGCUCGCCGGAAGACCAAGGGUUCCUGUCCAACGUUAAUCGGGGCAGGGUGAGUCGACCCCUAAGGCGAGGCCGAAAGGCGUAGUCGAUGGGAAACAGGUUAAUAUUCCUGUACUUGGUGUUACUGCGAAGGGGGGACGGAGAAGGCUAUGUUGGCCGGGCGACGGUUGUCCCGGUUUAAGCGUGUAGGCUGGUUUUCCAGGCAAAUCCGGAAAAUCAAGGCUGAGGCGUGAUGACGAGGCACUACGGUGCUGAAGCAACAAAUGCCCUGCUUCCAGGAAAAGCCUCUAAGCAUCAGGUAACAUCAAAUCGUACCCCAAACCGACACAGGUGGUCAGGUAGAGAAUACCAAGGCGCUUGAGAGAACUCGGGUGAAGGAACUAGGCAAAAUGGUGCCGUAACUUCGGGAGAAGGCACGCUGAUAUGUAGGUGAAGCGACUUGCUCGUGGAGCUGAAAUCAGUUGAAGAUACCAGCUGGCUGCAACUGUUUAUUAAAAACACAGCACUGUGCAAACACGAAAGUGGACGUAUACGGUGUGACGCCUGCCCGGUGCCGGAAGGUUAAUUGAUGGGGUCAGCGCAAGCGAAGCUCUUGAUCGAAGCCCCGGUAAACGGCGGCCGUAACUAUAACGGUCCUAAGGUAGCGAAAUUCCUUGUCGGGUAAGUUCCGACCUGCACGAAUGGCGUAAUGAUGGCCAGGCUGUCUCCACCCGAGACUCAGUGAAAUUGAACUCGCUGUGAAGAUGCAGUGUACCCGCGGCAAGACGGAAAGACCCCGUGAACCUUUACUAUAGCUUGACACUGAACAUUGAGCCUUGAUGUGUAGGAUAGGUGGGAGGCUUUGAAGUGUGGACGCCAGUCUGCAUGGAGCCGACCUUGAAAUACCACCCUUUAAUGUUUGAUGUUCUAACGUUGACCCGUAAUCCGGGUUGCGGACAGUGUCUGGUGGGUAGUUUGACUGGGGCGGUCUCCUCCUAAAGAGUAACGGAGGAGCACGAAGGUUGGCUAAUCCUGGUCGGACAUCAGGAGGUUAGUGCAAUGGCAUAAGCCAGCUUGACUGCGAGCGUGACGGCGCGAGCAGGUGCGAAAGCAGGUCAUAGUGAUCCGGUGGUUCUGAAUGGAAGGGCCAUCGCUCAACGGAUAAAAGGUACUCCGGGGAUAACAGGCUGAUACCGCCCAAGAGUUCAUAUCGACGGCGGUGUUUGGCACCUCGAUGUCGGCUCAUCACAUCCUGGGGCUGAAGUAGGUCCCAAGGGUAUGGCUGUUCGCCAUUUAAAGUGGUACGCGAGCUGGGUUUAGAACGUCGUGAGACAGUUCGGUCCCUAUCUGCCGUGGGCGCUGGAGAACUGAGGGGGGCUGCUCCUAGUACGAGAGGACCGGAGUGGACGCAUCACUGGUGUUCGGGUUGUCAUGCCAAUGGCACUGCCCGGUAGCUAAAUGCGGAAGAGAUAAGUGCUGAAAGCAUCUAAGCACGAAACUUGCCCCGAGAUGAGUUCUCCCUGACCCUUUAAGGGUCCUGAAGGAACGUUGAAGACGACGACGUUGAUAGGCCGGGUGUGUAAGCGCAGCGAUGCGUUGAGCUAACCGGUACUAAUGAACCGUGAGGCUUAACCUUACAACGCCGAAG
rnacentral:rRNA from 1 species